GGAUUGUGGCUCAGUGGCAGAACACUUCCCUCCCACGUAUGAGACACUGGGUUCGAUACUCAGCACCA
rnacentral:tRNA from 1 species